rnacentral:rRNA from 1 species
UGGGGGAUAACGUCCCGAAAGGGACGCUAAUACCGCAUGACAUCCUGCCUUUGAACAGGCGGAGAUCAAAGCUGGGGAUCGCAAGACCUGGCGCUCAAAGAGGGGCCCGCGCCUGAUUAGCUAGUUGGUGGGGUAACGGCUCACCAAGGCAUCGAUCAGUAUCCGGCCUGAGAGGGCGGACGGACACACUGGGACUGAGACACGGCCCAG